rnacentral:rRNA from 1 species
AUUGAACGCUGGCGGCAGGCCUAACACAUGCAAGUCGAGCGGAUGAAGGGAGCUUGCUCCUGGAUUCAGUGGCGGACGGGUGAGUAAUGCCUAGGAAUCUGCCUGGUAGUGGGGGAUAACGUCCGGAAACGGGCGCUAAUACCGCAUACGUCCUGAGGGAGAAAGUGGGGGAUCUUCGGACCUCACGCUAUCAGAUGAGCCUAGGUCGGAUUAGCUAGUUGGUGGGGUAAAGGCCUACCAAGGCGACGAUCCGUAACUGGUCUGAGAGGAUGAUCAGUCACACUGGGACUGAGACACGGUCCAGACUCCUACGGGAGGCAGCAGUGGGGAAUAUUGGACAAUGGGCGAAAGCCUGAUCCAGCCAUGCCGCGUGUGUGAAGAAGGUCUUCGGAUUGUAAAGCACUUUAAGUUGGGAGGAAGGGCAGUAAGUUAAUACCUUGCUGUUUUGACGUUACCAACAGAAUAAGCACCGGCUAACUUCGUG